AGAUUGAACGCUGGCGGCAUGCCUUACACAUGCAAGUCGAACGGCAGCGCGGGGCAACCUGGCGGCGAGUGGCGAACGGGUGAGUAAUAUAUCGGAACGUACCCUGGAGUGGGGGAUAACGUAGCGAAAGUUACGCUAAUACCGCAUACGAUCUAAGGAUGAAAGUGGGGGAUCCGCAAGGACCUCAUGCUCGGUGGAGCGGCCGAUUACUCUGAUUUAGCGUAGGUUGGCCGGGUAAAAGCCCACCGAAGGCAUCGAUCAGUAGCUGGUCUGAGAGGACGCCAGCCACGACCUGGAACUGAGACACGGUCCAGACUCCGUACGGAGGCAGCGAGUGGGAAUUUAGGACAAGUGGCGAAAAG
rnacentral:rRNA from 1 species